CGACUUAUAUUCUGUAGCAAGGUUAACCGAAUAGGGGAGCCGAAGGGAAACCGAGUCUUAACCGGGCGUUAAGUUGCAGGGUAUAGACCCGAAACCCGGUGAUCUAGCCAUGGGCAGGUUGAAGGUUGGGUAACACUAACUGGAGGACCGAACCGACUAAUGUUGAAAAAUUAGCGGAUGACUUGUGGCUGGGGGUGAAAGGCCAAUCAAACCGGGAGAUAGCUGGUUCUCCCCGAAAGCUAUUUAGGUAGCGCCUCGUGAAUUCAUCUCCGGGGGUAGAGCACUGUUUCGGCAAGGGGGUCAUCCCGACUUACCAACCCGAUGCAAACUGCGAAUACCGGAGAAUGUUAUCACGGGAGACACACGGCGGGUGCUAACGUCCGUCGUGAAGAGGGAAACAACCCAGACCGCCAGCUAAGGUCCCAAAGUCAUGGUUAAGUGGGAAACGAUGUGGGAAGGCCCAGACAGCCAGGAUGUUGGCUUAGAAGCAGCCAUCAUUUAAAGAAAGCGUAAUAGCUCACUGGUCGAGUCGGCCUGCGCGGAAGAUGUAACGGGGCUAAACCAUGCACCGAAGCUGCGGCAGCGACACUGUGUGUUGUUGGGUAGGGGAGCGUUCUGUAAGCCUGUGAAGGUGUCUGUGAGGAUGCUGGAGGUAUCAGAAGUGCGAAUGCUGACAUAAGUAACGAUAAAGCGGGUGAAAAGCCCGCUCGCCGGAAGACCAAGGGUUCCUGUCCAACGUUAAUCGGGGCAGGGUGAGUCGACCCCUAAGGCGAGGCCGAAAGGCGUAGUCGAUGGGAAACAGGUUAAUAUUCCUGUACUUGGUGUUACUGCGAAGGGGGGACGGAGAAGGCUAUGUUGGCCGGGCGACGGUUGUCCCGGUUUAAGCGUGUAGGCUGGUUUUCCAGGCAAAUCCGGAAAAUCAAGGCUGAGGCGUGAUGACGAGGCACUACGGUGCUGAAGCAACAAAUGCCCUGCUUCCAGGAAAAGCCUCUAAGCAUCAGGUAACAUCAAAUCGUACCCCAAACCGACACAGGUGGUCAGGUAGAGAAUACCAAGGCGCUUGAGAGAACUCGGGUGAAGGAACUAGGCAAAAUGGUGCCGUAACUUCGGGAGAAGGCACGCUGAUAUGUAGGUGAAGUCCCUCGCGGAUGGAGCUGAAAUCAGUCGAAGAUACCAGCUGGCUGCAACUGUUUAUUAAAAACACAGCACUGUGCAAACACGAAAGUGGACGUAUACGGUGUGACGCCUGCCCGGUGCCGGAAGGUUAAUUGAUGGGGUCAGCGCAAGCGAAGCUCUUGAUCGAAGCCCCGGUAAACGGCGGCCGUAACUAUAACGGUCCUAAGGUAGCGAAAUUCCUUGUCGGGUAAGUUCCGACCUGCACGAAUGGCGUAAUGAUGGCCAGGCUGUCUCCACCCGAGACUCAGUGAAAUUGAACUCGCUGUGAAGAUGCAGUGUACCCGCGGCAAGACGGAAAGACCCCGUGAACCUUUACUAUAGCUUGACACUGAACAUUGAGCCUUGAUGUGUAGGAUAGGUGGGAGGCUUUGAAGUGUGGACGCCAGUCUGCAUGGAGCCGACCUUGAAAUACCACCCUUUAAUGUUUGAUGUUCUAACGUGGACCCGUGAUCCGGGUUGCGGACAGUGUCUGGUGGGUAGUUUGACUGGGGCGGUCUCCUCCUAAAGAGUAACGGAGGAGCACGAAGGUUGGCUAAUCCUGGUCGGACAUCAGGAGGUUAGUGCAAUGGCAUAAGCCAGCUUGACUGCGAGCGUGACGGCGCGAGCAGGUGCGAAAGCAGGUCAUAGUGAUCCGGUGGUUCUGAAUGGAAGGGCCAUCGCUCAACGGAUAAAAGGUACUCCGGGGAUAACAGGCUGAUACCGCCCAAGAGUUCAUAUCGACGGCGGUGUUUGGCACCUCGAUGUCGGCUCAUCACAUCCUGGGGCUGAAGUAGGUCCCAAGGGUAUGGCUGUUCGCCAUUUAAAGUGGUACGCGAGCUGGGUUUAGAACGUCGUGAGACAGUUCGGUCCCUAUCUGCCGUGGGCGCUGGAGAACUGAGGGGGGCUGCUCCUAGUACGAGAGGACCGGAGUGGACGCAUCACUGGUGUUCGGGUUGUCAUGCCAAUGGCACUGCCCGGUAGCUAAAUGCGGAAGAGAUAAGUGCUGAAAGCAUCUAAGCACGAAACUUGCCCCGAGAUGAGUUCUCCCUGACCCUUUAAGGGUCCUGAAGGAACGUUGAAGACGACGACGUUGAUAGGCCGGGUGUGUAAGCGCAGCGAUGCGUUGAGCUAACCGGUACUAAUGAACCGUGAGGCUUAACCUU
rnacentral:rRNA from 1 species